GAUUGAACGCUGGCGGUAUGCUUAACACAUGCAAGUCGAACGGAAACGAUACUAGCUUGCUAGUAGGCGUCGAGUGGCGGACGGGUGAGUAACGCGUAGGAAUCUGCCUGAUAGUGGGGGAUAGCCCGAAGAAAUUCGGAUUAAUACCGCAUAAUCUAUUCGUAGUAAAGUGGGGGACUUUCGAGCCUCACGCUAUCAGAUGAGCCUGCGUAAGAUUAGCUUGUUGGUAGGGUAAAAGCCUACCAAGGCGACGAUCUUUAGCUGGUCUGAGAGGAUGAUCAGCCACAUCGGGACUGAGACACGGCCCGAACUCCUACGGGAGGCAGCAGUGGGGAAUAUUGGACAAUGGGGGCAACCCUGAUCCAGCAAUACCGCGUGUGUGAAGAAGGCCUGAGGGUUGUAAAGCACUUUCAAUUGUGAAGAAAAGUUAGCGGUUAAUAACCGUUAGCCUUGACGUUAACUUUAGAAGAAGCACCGGCUAACUCCGUGCCAGCAGCCGCGGUAAUACGGAGGGUGCAAGCGUUAAUCGGAAUUACUGGGCGUAAAGCGUGCGUAGGCGGUUUAUUAAGUCAGAUGUGAAAGCCCCGGGCUUAACCUGGGAACUGCAUUUGAAACUGGUCAACUAGAGUAUGGUAGAGGAAAGUGGAAUUUCUGGUGUAGCGGUGAAAUGCGUAGAUAUCAGAAGGAACAUCAAUGGCGAAGGCAGCUUUCUGGACCAAUACUGACGCUGAGGUACGAAAGCGUGGGUAGCAAACAGGAUUAGAUACCCUGGUAGUCCACGCCGUAAACGAUGAUAACUAGCCGUUGGGGGGAUUUACCCUUUAGUGGCGAAGCUAACGCGUUAAGUUAUCCGCCUGGGGAGUACGGCCGCAAGGUUAAAACUCAAAGGAAUUGACGGGGACCCGCACAAGCGGUGGAGCAUGUGGUUUAAUUCGAUGCAACGCGAAGAACCUUACCUGGUCUUGACAUCCUGCGAACUUUCUAGAAAUAGAUUGGUGCCUUCGGGAACGCAGUGACAGGUGCUGCAUGGCUGUCGUCAGCUCGUGUCGUGAGAUGUUGGGUUAAGUCCCGUAACGAGCGCAACCCCUAUCCUUAUUUGCCAGCACAUCAUGGUGGGAACUAUAAGGAGACUGCCGGUGAUAAACCGGAGGAAGGCGGGGACGACGUCAAGUCAUCAUGGCCCUUACGACCAGGGCUACACACGUGCUACAAUGGGAAGGACAAAGAGCCGCGAAGCCGCGAGGUGUAGCUAAUCUCAUAAACCUUUUCGUAGUCCGGAUUGGAGUCUGCAACUCGACUCCAUGAAGUCGGAAUCGCUAGUAAUCGUAGAUCAGAAUGCUACGGUGAAUACGUCCCCGGGUCUUGUACACACCGCCCGUC
rnacentral:rRNA from 1 species